rnacentral:lncRNA from 1 species
UCACAUUGUUGCUUGUUCUUACUUUUUUGAAAGAGCUACUCUCGAACGUAGAUUAGCCAUUGCCGUCGUGUCGGCUGCAAGACGUUCCGCGCGCGCUUGGCGCGCUUUUGUGCGUGUCGAAAGCGUAUAUAACGUGCGCGAUAUUCGUGCGAGCGCAGUUUGACUUGAGCAAUCGUGCGUUUGGACUCCGUGACAUUUGCUUUCGUCAUAUGCGAGUUAGGGGCUUGCCGACAGGUAAACCGCCGCUGUACUUAGAUGAGUUGAGAUUUACACAUCAAUGCCAGCUCACAAAGCAUCUAAUACGGCAAUCAGCCAGCCACCUCCGCAGAUGGAGAAUUCUGCAGUUUCCAAUCAUACUGUUUCUGUUGUCCUUGGCAGAGAUGUUGAUUGUACACAGAGGGAAUAUAUUGUAGGACAAUAAAAAUAACUUGUCAUGACAAGGGC